UGAGGGCGCUGUGGAUAGCACGUUCUCCAUUUCCCAUGAAAAAGCGAGCAGAGCAAUAGGGAGCUGUCACUGGUAAAGCAUGAGCAAACUGUACUAUACAACCACAUUUUAUUUUUUAUUUUUUUCUUCUACUGUCUGGAGCACACUCAGGCACCACAUGAACCGUUAGCAUAUUCCUAUCUGUCCACUGCCAGCCUCCCCUGCUCCACUCCCUUUUCUGCAGGGUUCAUACUUUCCUGUAAUAGCAUGCGUCAUUCCGCAGCAUUCUCAGCCAGCCAAUCCUUUCUCACUUUUCAUGCUCUCUCAUUGCUCUGCCCAGCCCCAGUGUGUCUCAUCCUCCUUUAGUACUUUCUUGUCACAUACCUCUGAGCAGCUACAAAGACAGGUCUCUGAAAGGAACAGGAAGGACAGGUGUUUUCACAUGGUUUCACGCUGUUUCUUUGUGGCCCUUCUGGCCCCGGUGGUGUUGGCUCUGGAACAGUCGCCAGACACAGUCAUAUGGCAAGGAGAAAAAAUGAGUCUGACCUGCUCCAAAAUGAAUCCCUCCUAUUAUACUAUGUACUGGUACAAGAUGCCUUUGGGAAAUGGCUCUGGAAUGAUCCUAAUGGUUACUGCAGUAAAAGGUGCCAAG